rnacentral:rRNA from 1 species
AGGGUGCAAGCGUUACUCGGAAUUACUGGGCGUAAAGCGUGCGUAGGUGGUUUGUUAAGUCUGAUGUGAAAGCCCUGGGCUCAACCUGGGAAUGGCAUUGGAAACUGGCUUACUAGAGUGCGGUAGAGGGUAGUGGAAUUCCCGGUGUAGCAGUGAAAUGCGUAGAUAUCGGGAGGAACAUCUGUGGCGAAGGCGACUACCUGGACCAGCACUGACACUGAGGCACGAAAGCGUGGGGAGCAAACAGGAUUAGAUACCCUGGUAGUCCACGCCCUAAACGAUGCGAACUGGAUGUUGGGAGCAACUUGGCUCUCAGUAUCGAAGCUAACGCGUUAAGUUCGCCGCCUGGGAAGUACGGUCGCAAGACUGAAACUCAAAGGAAUUGACGGGGGCCCGCACAAGCGGUGGAGUAUGUGGUUUAAUUCGA